UUGUAGAGAUUAUCAUCAUUGUUUUCAAGAACGAAAUCUUUACCAUAUCAUCAUCAUACUAAUGGUCAGCCUAUAGUCAUAUAUAGAAAAUGUAAUGUGGGCAUUUUCAAAAUGAUCGAGAUCAAUGAGUCAAAGCCUAAACAUAUUCGUAAAUCGUCGUUCAUGAUAUACCUCAAGAUAUACGAAUGAUGAUUUAAUUUUCUAUUUUCUUUCGUCUUCUCAUCAUAACCACCACUUGCUCGUCAUCGUUCAUUCAUUCGUAUUUUUUUUUAUUUUAUUUUCGUGAUGUCAACUUUAAUUCACAGAAAAUUUCAUCGACAUUUCGUUGUCGUGUCAUUUUUUUCAGUGUAUUUCAUAUAGACCACAACAACAACAACAACAACAACGACAAGGUUGACUGACUGGCCUUUGGGUCUUUGUUUUGUUUUGUUUUGUUCCCACUUUGGAUCGGACUCUAGCGGUGAUACGCGUCAUUGCUUUCGUGUUGGGCAACAACGACAACAACAAGUGGUUCGUUCAUAGUGUUCAACGAUGAUGAUGAAAAUAUUCGUUGUGAUUUUAUACAGAUCUUCAGAUGAGAAUAUUUUCAUUUUGAAAUGAAUUUGUUUCAAGUUUGUGUUAUUAAUCCGAAAGAAAAAAAAACAAAGAC